rnacentral:rRNA from 1 species
CAGUCGCCGCGGUAAUACGGAGGGUGCAAGCGUUAACCGGAAUUACUGGGCGUAAAGCGUGCGCAGGCGGUUCGCUAAGACAGAUGUGAAAUCCCCGGGCUUAACCUGGGAACUGCAUUUGUGACUGGCGGGCUAGAGUAUGGCAGAGGGGGGUAGAAUUCCACGUGUAGCAGUGAAAUGCGUAGAGAUGUGGAGGAAUACCGAUGGCGAAGGCAGCCCCCUGGGCCAAUACCGACGCUCAUGCACGAAAGCGUAAGGAGCAAACAGGAUUAGAUACCCCGUAGUCCCUGUCUCUUAUACA